rnacentral:rRNA from 1 species
AUUGAACGCUGGCGGCAUGCUUUACACAUGCAAGUCGAACGGUAACAGGCCUUCGGGCGCUGACGAGUGGCGAACGGGUGAGUAAUGCAUCGGAACGUGCCCAGUCGUGGGGGAUAACGCAGCGAAAGCUGCGCUAAUACCGCAUACGAUCUGUGGAUGAAAGCGGGGGACCUUCGGGCCUCGCGCGAUUGGAGCGGCCGAUGUCAGAUUAGGUAGUUGGUGGGGUAAAGGCUCACCAAGCCGACGAUCUGUAGCUGGUCUGAGAGGACGACCAGCCACACUGGGACUGAGACACGGCCCAGACUCCUACGGGAGGCAGCAGUGGGGAAUUUUGGACAAUGGGGGCAACCCUGAUCCAGCAAUGCCGCGUGCAGGAAGAAGGCCUUCGGGUUGUAAACUGCUUUUGUACGGAACGAAAAGGCUCUGGUUAAUACCUGGGGCACAUGACGGUACCGUAAGAAUAAGCACCGGCUAACUACGUG